rnacentral:tRNA from 1 species
GCGGGCGUGGUAUAAUGGCAACACGUCAGCUUCCCAAGCUGAAGCCGAGGGUUCGAUUCCCUUCGCCCGCACCA